GCUUUUAUAGCUUAACGGUUAAAGCAUCAAACUGAAGAUUUGAUUAUAUGUGUUCAAUUCACUUUAAAGGCA
rnacentral:tRNA from 1 species